rfam:Serratia marcescens FGI94, complete genome.
GGACAGGGACAAAUCAGCCUUAGGCUGAUUUGAACAGCGCUUCAGCGCUGGCCCCGAAGGGGCGAGCCUCAUUUAUGAGGCGAGUAUUCCGGGCUUCACUACAAU